rnacentral:rRNA from 1 species
GUGCCAGCAGCCGCGGUAAUACCGGCAGCCCGAGUGAUGGCCGAUCUUAUUGGGCCUAAAGCGUCCGUAGCUGGCUGCGCAAGUCCAUCGGGAAAUCCGCCAGCCUAACUGGCGGGCGUCCGGUGGAAACUGUGUGGCUCGGGACCGGAAGACCCGAAGGGUACGUCUUGGGUAGGAGUGAAAUCCUGUAAUCCUGGACGGACCGCCGAUGGCGAAAGCACUUCGGGAAGACGGAUCCGACGGUGAGGAACGAAAGCCAGGGUCUCGAACCGGAUUAGAAACCCGGGUAGUCC